CGCACACACCCACACAAAGAAAGAAAGAAAGAAAGCAACAAUAAAAAAAACAAGAAAAA
rnacentral:ribozyme from 15 species